GUGACAUCCUAACCAUAGCGAAUGUUGCUAAGACUAGAUUGCAAAUUUUACAUACUAAUGAAGGAUGUACUGAUAUAAUAAGUACUGCUAAAGAAUUUGCUAUUAAUAUUUUCUAAUUUAAUUUCAACAUGUUAAGAGCAAGAAAUAAAAAACAAUACUUGGUCAAUUAUCCAAAGAUGAAGUACAAUAUUCUCCUAUUGAUUUAUUUUGCUGUGAUGUUAUGAAGUUUUAGAUUUAAUUGACAUUAGGUUUAAUGAUUCAAAAUAAAUAUUG